AUAACACUUUUAUUAGAA
rnacentral:tRNA from 2 species